CCCUGCCAGGACUGUGAGGGCAGCCAUGUUACCAGUAACCCCUUCCCUGCCAGGACUGUGAGGGCAGCCAUGUUACCAGUAACCCCUCCCUGCCAGGACUGUGAGGGCAGCCAUGUUACCAGUAACCCCUCCCUGCCAGGACUGUGAGGGCAGCCAUGUUACCAGUAACCCCUUCCCUGCCAGGACUGUGAGGGCAGCCAUGUUACCAGUAACCCCUUCCCUGCCAGGACUGUGAGGGCAGCCAUGUUACCAGUAACCCCUUCCCUGCCAGGACUGUGAGGGCAGCCAUGUUACCAGUAACCCCUUCCCUGCCAGGACUGUGAGGGCAGCCAU